CAAUGAACUAUGUAUACUAUAUAUUAGAUAUACCCCUUAUUUCAAAGUCAAUUGGAGUAAGAAUAAAGAUAACUUAUUUUCUUGUAGUGUCAAUUUUAAGUUCUCCUUUUCUUUAUUUUAAUGACAUCAAUAGUUAUAUUUUAACUUCUUUUUUGUCGGUCGAGAGUUAUAUUUUAACUUUAAAUAUAGAACACUUGAUAUUGACUAUGCCUCAGAUGAAAUAACUUAGUUACUUUCACAUGUUCAGCUUCUCAUUAGAACACAUACUAGCAUUGUUCUAGUACUCAAGAAGAGUUGAAGCACUUGAUUUUCUCAUUACUUGUUUGAUNNNNNNNNNNNNUUACCACAAAAAUGUAAGUUGUAAUUGUUGUGGAUGAAAAAUACUUUAUAAAAUUGACACUAUUUUAUGAUUCUAGACUUUUGUUGAAGUUAGGAGGCUCAUGUUGGAUACUUGUUGCACUAAAUAUUUUUUUUUCUGGUAGUGUCAAUUAUAGUUAGAAAUUUAGCCUGGUGCAAUGUAUCUAUAUUGUAACAUUGUAUUCCUGCAUACUGUUGUCAUUGUUGUGGAUGAGAAGUACUUUAUUCAAUUGACAUUACUUUAUGAUGUUAGGUUUUUUGUCAAGGUUAGGAUGCUCAUGUUAGAUAGAACUC
rnacentral:lncRNA from 1 species